GCGCUGUGAUGACGCUUUUUCCUGCCAUUCGUAGUUUCCUCCAGAGGUCUGCCGACCGGUGAUGGCCCAAUCCUUCCUUGGAUGUCUGAGCGC
ensembl:snoRNA SNORD14 Small nucleolar RNA SNORD14